GGAGGGGGCGGCCCUUUUAGAGUUUGGAUUCUGGCUCAGGACGAACGCUGGCGGCGUGCCUAAUACAUGCAAGUCGAGCGGACAGAUGGGAGCUUGCUCCCUGAUGUUAGCGGCGGACGGGUGAGUAACACGUGGGUAACCUGCCUGUAAGACUGGGAUAACUCCGGGAAACCGGGGCUAAUACCGGAUGCUUGUUUGAACCGCAUGGUUCAAACAUAAAAGGUGGCUUCGGCUACCACUUACAGAUGGACCCGCGGCGCAUUAGCUAGUUGGUGAGGUAACGGCUCACCAAGGCAACGAUGCGUAGCCGACCUGAGAGGGUGAUCGGCCACACUGGGACUGAGACACGGCCCAGACUCCUACGGGAGGCAGCAGUAGGGAAUCUUCCGCAAUGGACGAAAGUCUGACGGAGCAACGCCGCGUGAGUGAUGAAGGUUUUCGGAUCGUAAAGCUCUGUUGUUAGGGAAGAACAAGUACCGUUCGAAUAGGGCGGUACCUUGACGGUACCUAACCAGAAAGCCACGGCUAACUACGUGCCAGCAGCCGCGGUAAUACGUAGGUGGCAAGCGUUGUCCGGAAUUAUUGGGCGUAAAGGGCUCGCAGGCGGUUCCUUAAGUCUGAUGUGAAAGCCCCCGGCUCAACCGGGGAGGGUCAUUGGAAACUGGGGAACUUGAGUGCAGAAGAGGAGAGUGGAAUUCCACGUGUAGCGGUGAAAUGCGUAGAGAUGUGGAGGAACACCAGUGGCGAAGGCGACUCUCUGGUCUGUAACUGACGCUGAGGAGCGAAAGCGUGGGGAGCGAACAGGAUUAGAUACCCUGGUAGUCCACGCCGUAAACGAUGAGUGCUAAGUGUUAGGGGGUUUCCGCCCCUUAGUGCUGCAGCUAACGCAUUAAGCACUCCGCCUGGGAGACUUCACCGG
rnacentral:rRNA from 1 species